UACGAGGGGGGCGAGCGUUGUUCGGAAUUAUUGGGCGUAAAGGGUGCGUAGGCGGUUUGGUAAGUCUGAUGUGAAAUCUAUGGGCUCAACUCAUAGUCUGCAUCGGAAACUGCCGGGCUUGAGUAUGGGAGAGGUGAGUGGAAUUCCUGGUGUAGCGGUGAAAUGCGUAGAUAUCAGGAGGAACUCCUGUGGCGAAAGCGGCUCACUGGACCAUAACUGACGCUGAUGCACGAAAGCUAGGGGAGCAAACAGG
rnacentral:rRNA from 1 species